rnacentral:rRNA from 1 species
GGGUUGUGAGGUUAAGCGACUAAGCGUACACGGUGGAUGCCCUGGCAGUCAGAGGCGAUGAAGGACGUGCUAAUCUGCGAAAAGCGCCGGCGAGGUGAUAUGAACCCUUGACCCGGCGAUGUCCGAAUGGGGAAACCCAGUGCAAUCCGUUGCACUAUCGUUAACUGAAUACAUAGGUUAACGAGGCGAACCGGGGGAACUGAAACAUCUAAGUACCCCGAGGAAAAGAAAUCAACCGAGAUUCCCCCAGUAGCGGCGAGCGAACGGGGAGCAGCCCGGAGUCUGAAUCAGCUUGUGUGUUAGUGGAACGGUCUGGAAAGUCCGACGGUACAGGGUGAUAGUCCCGUACACGAAAGCACACAUGCUGUGAACUCGAAGAGUAGGGCGGGACACGUGGUAUCCUGUCUGAAUAUGGGGGGACCAUCCUCCAAGGCUAAAUACUCCUGACUGACCGAUAGUGAACCAGUACCGUGAGGGAAAGGCGAAAAGAACCCCGGCGAGGGGAGUGAAAAAGAACCUGAAACCGUGUACGUACAAGCAGUGGGAGCCUCUUUAUGGGGUGACUGCGUACCUUUUGUAUAAUGGGUCAGCGACUUAUAUUCUGUAGCAAGGUUAACCGUAUAGGGGAGCCGAAGGGAAACCGAGUCUUAACUGGGCGUUAAGUUGCAGGGUAUAGACCCGAAACCCGGUGAUCUAGCCAUGGGCAGGUUGAAGGUUGGGUAACACUAACUGGAGGACCGAACCGACUAAUGUUGAAAAAUUAGCGGAUGACCUGUGGCUGGGGGUGAAAGGCCAAUCAAACCGGGAGAUAGCUGGUUCUCCCCGAAAGCUAUUUAGGUAGCGCCUCGUGAACUCAUCUUCGGGGGUAGAGCACUGUUUCGGCUAGGGGGCCAUCCCGGCUUACCAACCCGAUGCAAACUACGAAUACCGAAGAAUGUUAUCACGGGAGACACACGGCGGGUGCUAACGUCCGUCGUGAAGAGGGAAACAACCCAGACCGCCAGCUAAGGUCCCAAAGUCAUGGUUAAGUGGGAAACGAUGUGGGAAGGCACAGACAGCCAGGAUGUUGGCUUAGAAGCAGCCAUCAUUUAAAGAAAGCGUAAUAGCUCACUGGUCGAGUCGGCCUGCGCGGAAGAUGUAACGGGGCUAAACCAUGCACCGAAGCUGCGGCAGCGACGCUUAUGCGUUGUUGGGUAGGGGAGCGUUCUGUAAGCCGUUGAAGGUGUGCUGUGAGGCAUGCUGGAGGUAUCAGAAGUGCGAAUGCUGACAUAAGUAACGAUAAAGCGGGUGAAAAGCCCGCUCGCCGGAAGACCAAGGGUUCCUGUCCAACGUUAAUCGGGGCAGGGUGAGUCGACCCCUAAGGCGAGGCCGAAAGGCGUAGUCGAUGGGAAACAGGUUAAUAUUCCUGUACUUGGUGUUACUGCGAAGGGGGGACGGAGAAGGCUAUGUCAGCCGGGCGACGGUUGUCCCGGUUUAAGCAUGUAGGCGGAGGUUCCAGGUAAAUCCGGUACCUUUUAACGCUGAGGUGUGAUGACGAGGCACUACGGUGCUGAAGUGAUAAAUGCCCUGCUUCCAGGAAAAGCCUCUAAGCAUCAGGUAACACGAAAUCGUACCCCAAACCGACACAGGUGGUCAGGUAGAGAAUACCAAGGCGCUUGAGAGAACUCGGGUGAAGGAACUAGGCAAAAUGGUGCCGUAACUUCGGGAGAAGGCACGCUGAUGUGUAGGUGAAGCCCCUGCGGGUGGAGCUGAAAUCAGUCGAAGAUACCAGCUGGCUGCAACUGUUUAUUAAAAACACAGCACUGUGCAAACACGAAAGUGGACGUAUACGGUGUGACGCCUGCCCGGUGCCGGAAGGUUAAUUGAUGGGGUUAGCGGCAACGCGAAGCUCUUGAUCGAAGCCCCGGUAAACGGCGGCCGUAACUAUAACGGUCCUAAGGUAGCGAAAUUCCUUGUCGGGUAAGUUCCGACCUGCACGAAUGGCGUAAUGAUGGCCAGGCUGUCUCCACCCGAGACUCAGUGAAAUUGAACUCGCUGUGAAGAUGCAGUGUACCCGCGGCAAGACGGAAAGACCCCGUGAACCUUUACUAUAGCUUGACACUGAACACUGGUCCUUGAUGUGUAGGAUAGGUGGGAGGCUUUGAAGCGUGGACGCCAGUCUGCGUGGAGCCGCCCUUGAAAUACCACCCUUUAAUGGCUGGUGUUCUAACGUGGACCCGUAAUCCGGGUUGCGGACAGUGUCUGGUGGGUAGUUUGACUGGGGCGGUCUCCUCCCAAAGAGUAACGGAGGAGCACGAAGGUUGGCUAAUCCUGGUCGGACAUCAGGAGGUUAGUGCAAUGGCAUAAGCCAGCUUGACUGCGAGCGUGACGGCGCGAGCAGGUGCGAAAGCAGGUCAUAGUGAUCCGGUGGUUCUGAAUGGAAGGGCCAUCGCUCAACGGAUAAAAGGUACUCCGGGGAUAACAGGCUGAUACCGCCCAAGAGUUCAUAUCGACGGCGGUGUUUGGCACCUCGAUGUCGGCUCAUCACAUCCUGGGGCUGAAGUAGGUCCCAAGGGUAUGGCUGUUCGCCAUUUAAAGUGGUACGCGAGCUGGGUUUAGAACGUCGUGAGACAGUUCGGUCCCUAUCUGCCGUGGGCGCUGGAGAAUUGAGGGGGGCUGCUCCUAGUACGAGAGGACCGGAGUGGACGCAUCACUGGUGUUCGGGUUGUCAUGCCAAUGGCACUGCCCGGUAGCUAAAUGCGGAAGAGAUAAGUGCUGAAAGCAUCUAAGCACGAAACUUGCCCCGAGAUGAGUUCUCCCUGAGACUUUAAGUCUCCUGAAGGAACGUUGAAGACGACGACGUUGAUAGGUCGGGUGUGUAAGCGCAGCGAUGCGUUGAGCUAACCGAUACUAAUGAACCGUGAGGCUUAACCUUACAACGCCGAAGGUGUUU